GUGGGAGUAUAGAGGAAUGUCAAAAAUUUGUAGCCCUCUUUCAUCACAUAUUGAUAUUAAAGUGGGUAAUGAUAGGAGGGUAUCCUUAGGAAUGACCACUGACUAAGGCAUGGUCUCUUGAAAGAACAGUUCCCCUUACAUACUCAACAAUGUACAAAAGCUAGAGACUACUUUGGGCUCCUACAAAGAACUUGGCUGGAACUUCAACUUUUGAAGAAGGUAAUGACUAGAACAUAGGCCGGGGUGCAGAAUUUUUGACAGCACUAGAGCAUUUUUAAGGUUUAAACAACUAUGAAGAUAAAGUAAAAUUUGUGUUUCAGGAUGUCCCUCUAUGCCUCUCUUACCUCAGAUGAUCAACAAGCACUCUUGACUUAGAAACAAAGGAUGAAAGGAGGACAAACUAUCAAAAGUUACAUGUUUCUCUUGACUAGUAGCCGAAGAAUCAUGCUUGCCACAUGAGAAUUGUAGAAAAGGCGCUUCCGCCUUUUGUUCCAGAUGAUACUUGUGUGGAGGUAAACUAGAGAUUGUAAGGGUGUGCUCGGUAUGGACGAAAAUAUUUGUCAAUUAUCCAAUGUUUGGUUGGUGAAUAUUUUUGGAUGAUAUUUUUUCUAGGAAAACAAGUUCCUUAAAAUUGAGGAAAAUGACUUCCCUAGUGGAAGUACGGAAAAUAAGUUCCACAAGUAGCAUUCCACAUAGGUUGUGUCCACCCCACCCUCCAACACACCUCAUCUUCACUCCCACUCUCUGUAACCCCCAUCCUCA
rnacentral:lncRNA from 1 species